GGGGCCCAGGCAGUUCUAUGCCAGUGCAGCCCCGGCCCUGGAUUCCCCUAGCUGUGUUUUCAUCUCUGGAUCCCACCCAUGGUGAGUCCCUAGCAGUCAAACCACCAAGGCAGUGUGACGUUCACAGGCCUUGAGUUUCCCCGACCUCAGCUUUCCUCCUGAGACAUCAAGGGCUUGGUUCUACAGAGGGCUGUGCCCUGCUAGG
rnacentral:lncRNA from 1 species